GCACCAUAUUUGUCACAGGAACUUGGUUUCUGUGCUGUGUUGCGAUUGUGUUGCAUGUGUGUGUGGGUGAAAUAUGUAAUAAAUUGUGUUUGAAAGGUGGGU
rnacentral:lncRNA from 1 species